ACGGAAGGCAGCAGUGAGGAAUAUUGGUCAAUGGGCGGAAGCCUGAACCAGCCAAGUCGCGUGAAGGAUGAAGGUAUUAUGUAUUGUAAACUUCUUUAGCAGCAGAGUAAUAAGGGGGUCGUGACCCCCGAUGCAAGUAUGCUGAAAAUAAGGAUCGGCUAACUCCGUGCCAGCAGCCGCGGUAAUACGGAGGAUCCGAGCGUUAUCCGGAUUUAUUGGGUUUAAAGGGUGCGCAGGCGGUUUUUUAAGUCAGUGGUUAAAUCGUGAGGCUCAACCUCAUCACGCCAUUGAUACUGGAAGACUUGAUUGCGGUUGAGGUUGGCGGAAUUCGUCGUGUAGCGGUGAAAUGCAUAGAUAUGACGAAGAACACCGAUUGCGUAGGCAGCUUACCAGGCCGUUAAUGACGCUCAUGCACGAAAGUGCGGGGAUCGAACAGGAUUAGAUACCCUGGUA
rnacentral:rRNA from 1 species